rnacentral:rRNA from 2 species
GCAGUCGAGCGGACUUUAAAGCUUGCUUUUAAGUUAGCGGCGGACGGGUGAGUAACACGUGGGCAACCUGCCUGUAAGACUGGGAUAACUUCGGGAAACCGGAGCUAAUACCGGAUAAUCCUUUUCCUCUCAUGAGGAAAAGCUGAAAGACGGCAUCUCGCUGUCACUUACAGAUGGGCCCGCGGCGCAUUACCUAGUUGGUGAGGUAACGGCUCACCAAGGCAACGAUGCGUAGCCAACCUGAGAGGGUGAUCGGCCACACUGGGACUGAAACACGGCCCAAACUCCUACGGGAGGCAGCAGUAGGGAAUCUUCCGCAAUGGACAAAAGUCUGACGGAGCAACGCCGCGUGAGUGAUGAAGGUUUUCGGAUCGUAAAGCUCUGUUGUUAGGGAAGAACAAGUACAAGAGUAACUGCUUGUACCUUGACGGUACCUAACCAAAAAGCCACGGCUAACUACUUGCCACCAGCCGCGGUAAUACUUAGGUGGCAAGCGUUGUCCGGAAUUAUUGGGCGUAAAGCGCGCGCAGGCGGCCCUUUA